GGAUCACCGGGUGGAGCACCAGUCUCUCUCCGAGGGGGACGGGUUGCCGAUCGUGUCAGUCGUGAUCCC
rnacentral:tRNA from 1 species